CAUCAUUACAAGGUUAUAUAUGUCUCAAAUUAAUCCAAAAAUAUGUUACAAUAUAUACUACAUUCUCAGUCCAACUACCAUACAUUACCGGUCAUUCCAUUUAUAAUCUGACAAAGUUUUUCUUAUUUUUGAGAAAAAUGGCUUCAAAGUUUUGGGGAAAAUGAAAUUUAACAUUUUAAAAUUGAUAAAAGAAAUUUUGUGGAAAUCUUAUGUAUACUAGCUCUAAAUACUAAAGCUUUAUUUUGCUUCUGUUUACCCUUAGCCCCUCACUUCAUACACUUCAUAUAAAUGUCGCAUGCUUUCCAGUUCAGGUCAAGUAGAUCAGAAAUCCAAGAACCUUUAGACAAUGAGUAGUUUUAGACUUGGACGACUAUCAUUUAAACUACCUACGCUGUGAAUUAUUUAUUUUAUAAAUUGUUCAUUUUCAUACAGUGAUAUUCUAAAUAACCCGGUAUACUGUAAAUUUGAUGACUUCUAAAUCGACUUUGAUAAAUAGUUUGAGGCAUUAAACAUUGGUUAAACCUGAUUUUAGCAAUAUUUUUUUAUGAAACAAUAAUCUCUAAAUAGGUCUAGUCCUGCCAUUCCUAAUCUCUAAAUAGGUCUAGUCCUGCUAUUCCUAAUCUCUAAAUAGGUCUAUAGUCCUGCUAUUCCUAAUCUCUAAAUAGGUCUAGUCCUGCCAUUCCUAAAAUAUGUUCCGCCAAUUAUAUGCUUUCAUAAUUACCAGAUAUAUGAAUUAUCUUUGUUCAUGAUAUUAUUUAAUUAAUUGAAACUUUAAAAAAUAUUCAUAAUAUCUUUGUUAUUUUGAGAGCAAAAAAAUUGAAGACCACAUUUUGAAAUGGCAGGAUAAGGGCUAUAUUUUAAUUUUUUUUUUAUUAAAAAUAUUGCUAAAAUCAGGUUGCCUAUAAUGAAUGCGGCAAGCUUAUUCUAAUGUCAUAGAAGACUUGGUAGUUCUCAUUCAAUUUUUGUUAUUCAGAGCCCAAAAUUUAACUCCCGCGUUUCCUUGUGAGGUCUUAACAUUCGUGUGUAUUUUGAUAUUAGAGAUUCGAAAAAA